rnacentral:lncRNA from 1 species
CUACCACAAUCCAGGUAGGAGGUGACAGUGCUGCAGCCAGGCUGCACGGCGAAGGAUGGGAGGGGCCCCCGGAGAAACCUGAAUCAGCCCUUCCCGCUGAGGCGUAUUGCCCAAUGAAGUUGGAGGGGUGAAUUCGAAGCAAGACCUCAAGCAGGGGGUGAAGCGGACAUGAUGUAGAGAAGCUGCUGCUGAUGGCAAUGGGACCAGAAAAGGGGGGCCUAAGGGAGAACAUGAGAAGCAAAAAGGGCAGCCCCUUAACCUUCAACCUCAGAGGCUCGUGAGGGAGAAACCCAGUCAGGUCUGAGGGGAGAUCUCACAGCAAGGGGGUGGGUGGGACUUGACUCAGAUUGCAGUGGGGAGAAAUUUUAAUGACACCCCCUCCCUAGCAAACCAGCGAUGCAAGAUGGUGCCAGCACAAUAUGGUGCCAGUCAGGAGGUGGUUUGGAAUGGCUGAGGAAGGGAGUCUGGGAAGUGGCUUCAUGCAACGCUGCUCGUUCUAGUGAGAAUGCAGCCAGGUAGUCCUAGGUCCCAGGGGCCGCAGAGCCAAGAUCUGCCUCACCAGCUAUGUGCAGGGACCAUGCACUUUGGCUUCACCUCUUCCUGCCCCUACCCCACCAGCAAGCCCCAGGGACCAGAACCAUCUCUGUCCUGCGUGUGUGUGUGUGUGUGUGUGUGUGUGUGUGUGUGUAAGAAUGCAGGGGACUCCACUCAGACCUUCAACCCUCUUGUCCCACCACCGUGAGGCCCAUGAACAUCUCUCUGCACCAGGAAAUUAUCUUGGCUGGGAGAAGGCGGAAGGGUGAGAAAACCUUGGAAUACUGAGCAAUUUUACUCAAAAGAGACUGAGUUAAUCAUACAGAAAUGGAGCUAUGUCUAAGGGGCAAUUUAAUGGUUUCUUUUUGUUUGUUUUCUUUUUGCCCGUCAGUAGUAGGAAUUAUCAGAUCACGAUGAGAAGAGUAUAAGAAAAAGUAAGAACAAUACUGAUUUGACCCAUCUGGGUAGGUGUGUGUGUGUGAUCUUUAGCCCUCCCACAAUUAUGUCUGUACACGUUUGCUGGGGCAACUGUAUAUUUUCAAUUCCAAUCGUCAGACCUUUCCUUGAAGCUCACGUGUGUUUUGAUCUGGCCAGGAAUUGAGAAUCAUAAAAUCAUUAAAUCUGUAUUAAUUACCUAUUGCUGCAUAGUAAGUUAAUCCAAAAUUUAGCUGAAAUAAAUAUGUAUUAUCUCA